AAAAAACAAAUACUGGAUAUUCUCUCUCCUGUGAAGAAGCAGCACACCUAUGGGGCUUGAUCAUGGAUGAGUGUGAGAGACUGAGGAAGGAAGAGGAAGGACAUCAAGGAACUAGAUGCUUAGUGCCUGAACCCUGUCAGAUGGUAACGCCCAGUGCUCUGCAGAGAAGAAGGCCUCUUAUUGAUAAUAACCUAUAUCAAGGGGCUGGAGAGGUGGCCCAGUGGUUAUUGAUACUUGCUGCUCUUGCUUUGGGCCCAUAUUCAGCUCUUAACCCCACUGUGGUGGCUCACAGUCAUCUGUUGCUCUAGUUCCGACUAAAGAACAAGAAGUGAAAAAGAAGUCCAGUCAAGCAGCUCGCACCUGUAGCUCCACACUUGGGAGGCAGAGGCCGAAGGAUUGCUGCGAGUGUGAGAUUAACCUUCCACGGUGAGUUCCAAGCCAGCAAGAGCUACAUAGAAUGACCUUAUCUUCAAAACCAAAAAGCAACAAUGACAGGAGAGACAGACAGAGACAGAGACACAGAGAGGCAUACUUCACUUCAUGGCUUACAUAAAUAGCAAAUAAGAAUUUGGGGAUUUUUACCUUCCUAGAAUUAAAGUGAUUUCACAGCUUCAAAUAAACAAAACUGAAGAUUCCUUCAACCAAAAUGGUAAAAGAGUCAGGAGUUGUAAAGGCAGAGAACUAUACAUCUCAGUUUGCUGAUAGUCACAGUUAAUGCCAAUCUCAACAGGACGGGGAACUUCAAAAACAGAAAUGAGAAGAUAAGCCUCAAUGUCUAGAAGCUCUACUGACAUCCAUGAAUUCCUGCCUCACAGGCAAUCCAUUCGUGGUACUCAGUCUAGAGUUUACAAAAGAGAAGCUGAACACAUCAUGGAUCUGUGCUGAUGGUGGCCAUUAAUCUGCUCCAGACAUCUUCUUCCAUCUAGGAUCCAGGAAGAUUUAAAACCAUCAUGUUGCAUUAUAAUGCCAAAUCCUGCGGCACACAGUGUCAGAUAAAAGCACAUUUGUAAUUUUUCCAAUCCAGGAAUCUCAGAUGUGCUUAUAAAUAAGCAAUAAAUAAGCAACUUCUCGGAAGAUGCAUGACUUUAUCUCUUCAUUUAGAAGUCAGAGGAGAGUCAGGCAAGGAUCCUAGCAAGAAUCUGCAGGAAUAACAAAGAUAUGAAGAUGUAAGCUGUCCUCCAACUCCAUGGAACUCAGCCUUCUGGUCUACUGUAUGUGCAACACAUCUCUGCUGGAGCAAAGGGAAGCGGGUGCUACCAUAUUGGAGAACUCGGACUUGCUUUUCUUUUCGCUUUAAUGAAAGUACACACAUAUCC
rnacentral:lncRNA from 1 species